rnacentral:rRNA from 1 species
UACGGAGGGUGCAAGCGUUAUCCGGAUUCACUGGGUUUAAAGGGAGCGUAGGUGGCUUUGUAAGUCAGUGGUGAAAUAUUGCGGCUCAACCGCAAAACUGCCAUUGAUACUGCUUAGCUUGAAUCACGUCGAGGUGGAUGGAAUAAUACAUGUAGCGGUGAAAUGCUUAGAUGAUGAUAUUAGAACACCGAUUGCGAAGGCAGUUACACUAGGCGUGUAUUGACACUGAGGCUCGAAAGCGUGGGGAUCAAACAGG